rnacentral:lncRNA from 1 species
CAAUUUUUUAACUAAAUAUAUUUUUGAGAAGCACAUGUACAUCACCAAACUGAACAUAAGGAAACAACAUUAGAAUGCGCUGAGAAAAAAUGAAUUGUCUUUGUGACUAUAAAAAAUCUGAGAAAAAGGAUCCACUGUUACGCCACUUUGAGAAGUUGUAGCUUCUGCAGACUGCAGAGUGAUGUUUAGCUGGCCUCUUAUGUGCAAGUGGAAACUAAGUUAUACAUCAAACACGCAAAUAAACCUUGUUGACUGGCCUUCACAGCCUAUCACUAUUGUCCCCUCAACAUACAGGCUUACUAAUAGAUUGCAUCAGCAUUUGAGAGAAUCUUUAUUGCCUUGGAAAAUUACUUCUGUCUUCUAAAAUCUUCAUAGAACUCUUACAUCUGUAUGUUCCUGUUCGCUCAUGUUGUGUACCAGAUUUUACAUGUGAAAUAGAUCUUAAAAUUGACAUUACCAUCUGUGAUGUCACUUGUAUAGCAGUCACUGAAUUUCAUGAAACAGAAUGGCUAAGAAGCAGGCAUCUAUUUUGCCGUAGUUUUUUAUCAAACAAAAUGUUUUUCCGUAAUUAAAGGUGGAAAUGAACAGAGAAGGAUUAGGCAUAGGAAAAGGUAAUUAUUGCUAUUACAAACCUCUUAGCUUAAUUUAUGGAAAUAUGAUUUCAAAAUUAAAUAGUACUUGAUUUUUUUAUGUUUCAGUUUGGACUCUCUCAGUUGUGUCUAGCACUUCUGUUUCUCAGAAUCCUCAAUGGCCUUUUGUUUUCCCAUUGUAUUAGAUAAGCAGAAGUACCCAUUUUGCAAUAGUAUUAUCUCAGCAAUAAAUUACAUUUUGCAUUUCUCUCAGGUUCCUCAUCUAAAGAUCUAUAGGUGUUUUUCAGACCAUAGGUAAAAAGAGAUACAUAUCAAAUCUCAACAUAGGUAGAGGCACACAGAGGCAGAUUUGUGAGUGAAGACAUGCACCACAAAACUUUUGUUUGCCAAAUUAAUAAUAGAUUAAGACAAGAUCGUGCCUUCUUCCAGGCAAACAAAAUCCACCUAUUUUGCAGUAACCCUUCACUUCAGACACACUCCUCCUUCACUGUGAUGAUUUUGUGAUGAUUUUUUUCAAAUUUCUUCCAGCUGUAUUUAUUCAUAACAACUAAAUCAAUGGCAAUAAUCACUGUGUAUUCCUACUGUGAUGUUCUUUCAAAUAUUUUACCCUCCAGCACUUUUCAAAUAUCUUUUACAAAGACAACAUAGUCCAGUGACUAAGUACAAAAUGGCAUGCUUUAUUCCUGAUGGAAAAGGUAGCUUUUCUGCUCUUUGAACUUCUGUUUCUUUUUAAAUAAUGAGGAACAAAACUUUUGUUCUUGGAAAUAUUAAUUGACCUUAUCAGUACAUUCCUACUUUUGCUGAAGAAUGAUCACAACAAAGAUACUUCCCUUAUAUAGCAAAAAAAUGAAGGAAUUAACUUCAGUGCCUCCUCCAGAUGACAUGGAACCAUUAAAGAUCGUUUUUGUAUUUGCAAGUAUAUAUGGUAGAGAAUGUAGAGAAGAUACAUGUUCUGUAGAACAGUAGGCUGAGAAUGGGAAGUGUGCUACAUUCAAUGAUUAGCAAAUAAAUUAUUGGAAAACUUACUGUGUGACCUUGCAAAAAGAGCUGUUCCACUACUUUGUGCUUCAGACAUAGCUCUAUAAUAAGAUAAACCAAUGACCAAUGAUCAUCAGAAUUUUGGGGGUAAGUCAGUGUAUUAUCACUAAAGCAUCAUGGCAGUUCUAUUAAUAAAUCAUAAUUAUAUGACAAGUCAUGAGGGUAUCAGGAAGAGUAAAGUCUUUUACUAAGCUAGCAUGUUGCUAUUAAAAAACAACUCCCAUUCAAUUCUUAUAGCCUGCCUAAAACUAAUCAGAAGUGAUCAAGAAAAAUACUUGAAGGUAUUUACAUUUACUAAUAUUUUGGCAUAUGUGUAGCCAUAAACUGAGUUAAUUCAGUAUUGUGUGGUUAUCCAGAAAAGUAGCCAAGAAGUUGAAGUUAAAUCUUGAUGUACAUACUGAUAAAAUAGACAAUUUGGAAAAUAAAGCCUAGGCUUGGAACUGGAAGAUCUUUGAGGUCCUUUCCAAUUCAAACCAUUCUAUGACUCUAUGAUUCACUUAGAAUUGUCACAUUUUAUACUCAUUUGAAAAGAUUUGUUUCUGUGUGCCUUUGGACACAAUCUCCUGGGGAAAAAAAAAAAAAAAAGACUUCUCCUAUGAAGCCUAGUAAUGCUUAUGAGGCAUGGUGGAAUUGUUGGAUGCUGUUCAAGAGUGGGUCUGUGGGAAAAUUACUUAAUGCCAAUCAAUAGAAGACUGAAGACCAUUUGUCUACACGAACACACUCAACAAGCGGAGAUGUUACAGACUGCAACUAACCAUUGAUGAGACCCAUUUGACAAAAGACAGUCUGUCUACAAACCCGUGGUCUUAAACCUAUGGAGUGGUGUUCACAGAGUAAACUAUGGGAAUGAAUGAUAAAAUGGGAGCAUCCUAAAAAUAGUGAAGCAAGAUUAAAAAUUUUGUUGAACACAGUGGGAUGGAUUUAACAGCUAUAACAUUUUGUUUUAAAUAAUUAACUGUGCUGAAUUUUUCAUAGAAGAGCACAACAUUCAUAUGGUAUAAUUAUUACAGUGUGAAAUGCAUUUGAAUUAGAACAAGAUAAUGUUGUCAUUGGGUAGGUAAAUUCAUAGUGUCAGGAAAUGUUAUCCUCCCCAGGUUCUAGGAAUUAUGUGCUUAACAUUCUUUUGCAGCACACAGUACAGACUACUAUUAAUAAUAUAUCCAUAGCUGAACAUAAGUUAUGGAAGGAAUAUUUAAAAUGUUUAAUUAUUCAAAUGAAAGAAUUAAUUGACUGUGCUUUUUUUUUUUUUUUUUUUUCCAGUUCUAAAGUAUUUCUAAACAUUAGAAGAGCUCAGCAUGAUAGGAAGAGUAUAAUAAGUGCCUAGGAGGAAAUAAAAAAUAAAAGAAGUGGAAGUUUUAAACUUUCCUAAUGACUGAGACUAUGGCAUAUACUGUGUACAAGCUGUCAUUUGGAGCUACCUACAAUAAUCAAAAACAUGAUAUAUCUCUAUUAUUAGAGGCUCCUGAAUGGAAAGAAAUCAGAUGAGAAAAAUAUGAGCUUAUAAUUCCUAGUAGAGUGAUGGUGCUUAUUAACAACCUAGUAAAGACUCUCACAAAAAUGGAAAGUUUGCAGAUUGCUGUUGACCAGUUAACUUUAAUACCUAGAAAAUAUAAUUGACCUUCUGCUUUUUAAACCUGUAUCACACGUGAAUUCACAGUAAGAUAGGUUAGGCAUGUGUCUCUUCCCUAUAAAUAUUUUUUAUGUUAAUCUCUUCUAGUGAAUGAAAGAAACCUUUUCAGGCUUUGAUCUUUGGUGUUUAGGCUUAGACUAAAGGGGUGUCGCCUUACUCACAUUUUAGGAUGAGUUCCAUAAAUCAAGAUGUUUUCAGUGAAUGCUGUGACCUUUUGUGUUAUCAUAGGAAUUAUAUUGUACUCCAGUGGAAACCUGAAGAAGGGCUUUGAAUAUGAGCAAGUAAUCAAUGAUUGAAGAGCUAGUGGAGUAUAUCUAGUGUUGGUAUAGUACUCAUACUUGUCCUACCACUUGAGUUUUAAAGAGCAAAGUGAAGUCAAAAUGAUUCAGAUAUAGACUUUCUAUGACAACUGGAAGAUGACCAAUCAUCAAUGAACCUCUUUUUUCAUUUUCUAUCUUCACUCAUAUUAAUCUGAAGUAGCUUCUUCAUCUGUUAUUAAUGGUUUCUGUUAAGAAAAUAAAUACAACAGAAAGAAACAAGCAAUCGUUUUUCUUAUGCUGAGAAGAUGAAUAGGGGAUUCAGAGUCCAAAUUAGAAUUGAAUAGAAAGAGGCACCUGCUUACCAUCUUCUGCCAGAUAUUUAACUUCCAUAGAUGGGCACCAUGUGAGACACAGCACUUAAUUACUGGUUGUCAUGUUUUCCACUUAGUAUGCAGACUUUUAGGUUUACUCUUCUGAGGCAUCUAACCCUCUAUAAAUCCUCCAAGGAGGACCUGAUGUCUGUCCUGAUUUCAAAACAUAAGUAAUUUUUUACCUUUAUGAGUUCUCAAGCAAUUCUACCUAGUCUAUCCUUCUACUACACUGAUUGUUUAUUUUGAAAAAGUAUUAAAGAAUUCUGAAUUGUUUUGAAUUUGCCAGGGCUGGAUAUUUGACAAAAUAACAUUCAUGAUUACCUAGAUGGAAAUCAUCACAUUCCUUGUUAGAAUAGGCUGGUGAGAAAGCAACUAUAUUGUUUCCCAGUGCUAAUUUGCUCAAGAGCACAUCAAAUUUAACUGGAAGCAUCAUACCAGAUACUCUGAGGAAAACAAUUCCGUCCCAGCUGAAACUAACACAUUUACUUAUGACAUGGUUUUAUGGUUUUUCAUUGAUAUUCCACAUCAUAACAUCAUACAGUGCACUGGGAGUUAAAGAGUUAAUGCUGCAGUUUCAUGAAUGGUCACUAUAUACUCAUGAGUUCCAGUCUCUGGGCUUUAGAAGAGAAGAAUGAACUACGACUCUAAGAAGACUUCAUUUUUUUGUUUGUUUGUUUGAUUGUUUCUGUUUCCCAUUUCUGUUUUCUGUUGGGAGAGAAAGCUAAAAUAGACCGAGAGUCACAAGACAGCACUUUUUGCUCCCUGGCCACUUUGCCUACAGCAUUAGAGUAAGGUUUUGGAAACUCUCUCAUUUUAUUUGAUUUAUUAGCUUCAAUUUCAAUAUUACUGUAUUAUCUUACAUUCCGCUACUAUAUUUAGUAAACUGAGGUUUUGUUUGUUUGUUUGUUUGUUUUCCUUUGGCUCAUUGCUGCUGUUUUCCUCAUCCAGGCAUGUCUCCUUGCCUUUUCCCUUUCUUCUCCCACCUACCCCCAUCUCCAGGGUGUGGAUCUUUGGGUCCCUUCACCCCCUCAUCACGGAAACUGGGCCAAACCAUGACAAUUCAUUAAUUUUAUCAAGGCUGAAUGGGGCUUUGAGCAACUUGAUCUGGUGAGAGGUGUCCCUGUCUAUAGCGGGGGGUUUGGAACUAGAUGAUCUUAAAGUUCCCUUCCGACCCAAACCAUUUUAUGAUACUGUGAUUCUAUGAUUCUAUGACUUCUAAGCAAGCUGCAGUCAAAGUUUAAGUAUUAAAUUUUAAACAUAUAGCCAUUUAACAAGGUAUUUGCACAAGUCAGUACAUCUUCAUUCACCUAGCAGGAAGGAUGAGGAAUCAGUAUGGAGAAGCAGCAUAAAAUCUGUGCAUAAAUUCUGCCGGCCCUAAGCCUUCUUUUGAAAAUUUAUUUGGGUCUGAACUGACUUUUUUACGUGGCUGAAUUUCUUUCCCAGCACAGGUUUUGUAAGCCAGUGUUGCUAAGCUGUAAGAGGGAUCCCCACUGUGCAAUUCAAGUCACUGACCACAGUACAUGGUCUGUUCAUGCACUUGAUGCUACAAUACUUAAAGUGCAUCUAUAUCAUAAAUAAGGAUGAAAUGUCUGCUUAGGAACAGGCUUGGAAGCAUUGACCUGAAAAAGCAUCUGUUACCUUGCUUUCAGCCAGAAAUAAUGAUAUCAUAAACAGACUAGUACUAGUAUUUCCAGUUUGGCUUCCAAAGCCAGAAGAAAUCUGUGUAGUUCUGGUGUUGUGCUUUGUUUUUGCCCUUCUACUCCUCACUGGGCACACAGGAAUGCUUUCUCUUAAUAUAAAGAGUGAUUUUUUUUUUUUUAAAGCUAAAAACCACUAGAAAAUCCAUGCUUUUCAAGCUUCUGCCAAGUUGGCUUAAUUAGGCUCUUUAGAUGAAAAAAAAAACUAGCAUAAGGCUACACUAGUAGUGUCAAAGCUCUGAUUUUCAUGCUUCAGCACUAAUUUACUUCUGAAUAAACUUUAGUUAAUCACAUUUCUGCAACUCAAACAAAUAAAGAGCCAAAUUCGCCCUGGUUGAAAGGAGACCUGGUCUAAUUUAAGUCCAUUAGAAUUCCAUUCUCCCAGUAUUUACUAUUUUAUGUAGUAAAGUAUAACUGUUUUGGAGGCCUCCAGGUAUGUACACAGGUAAAGUAUUUUAGCAGAUAAAAUCCACUCAAAAUUAAUUUCACAAUGGAAAAUGUUUUAGUCAACUCCUAGUACACCAUCUAACAGAUUCAUAAACCAUGGAUAGUGACAUCUGCUUUGCCUGCAACAGUAAUUCUUUCACUUAAGUCUUGAGAGUACCUUUGUCUACAGAUCAAAGAUCAGCAUCUUACCCAUAGCCACUUAGUCUUUGACUCAGUGACCCUGCCAGCAGGGACACAAAGUAGUGCAAGAUGCAGUGGUAUCCUUAGGCAAUGCAGCUAAUAAGAUUUUGAAAACUUAAGUAAUUGUGAUUUCUAUCUAAAAAAGAGUUGGGUAAAUAUCCUGCAUAAGAUUUUGUGAACUGAUGCCAUUCCUAUUUUUUUUACACUUUUCAUUCCUUGAAGAAAGACAUUUGUAAUACUGCAGCAUUCUUACAGUAUUUAUUUCAUCUUCUAGAUUAAAAAAAAACAACAACAAAACAACAAAAACAACAACAACAAACUGCCACAUUUGCAUAGAUCCCGUGUAAAUAGAAAAAGUGCAAGGUAGGAAGACCUUCUCAUUGAGCUACUGAACAAUAAAUCUCACUUGACCAAACAUAAUAAAGCCAUUCUGGGUAAAACUUGACUAAGAUGAUUGAGGAGACAAGACAAGAUAGGCAUAAAAAAUGAGAACUCACAUUUAUUAAUUGACCAGUUAGGGCUUUUUAGAGGUUAUUUGGUACACUGAAGAAUCAAGAGAGUAAAGCAACAUAUGGAUGUUAUUUCUGCAAAAAUUGUACACCUUUCUCUUAUAGUCUAGACUACAUCAAAAGUGAAGAGAGCAUAUGAUUUUGCACAUUCUGCAAAUAAAUUCAUAAAGGCCAACAAGACUCAAUAGAUUUUUAAGGCAAAAUCAUAAACUUGUGGUGAGCACCUUGAUGUCUGGAGGAGGAAGGAGAAGCGCCAGCUGGAUCCAUCAUCUAACUUGUCAGUUUUACUAUGUUCAUCACUGUGGUACCAGAACACCUUUACAAGCUAUAAAAGUAAUCACAAUUAAAGGGUCAUAGAAUCAUAGAGUUGUUUGUGUUGGAAGGCCCUCGUAAAGGUCAUCUAGUCCAAGUCCCCUGCAGUGGUACAGGGACAUCUACAGCUAGAUCAGGUGGCUCAGAGCAUGGCCCAUCCGGACCUUGAAUGUCUCUAAGGAUGGGGCACCCACCACAUCUCUGUUCAACCUGUGCCAGUGCCUUACCACUCUUAUCGUAAAAAACUUCUUCCUUAUAUCCAAUCUAAAUCUCCCCUAUUUUCAGUUUAAAACCAUUUCCUCUUGUCCUAUCACAACAGCUCCUGCUAAAGAGUCUGUCCCCUUCUUUUGUAUAGUCCCCCUUUAGAUACUGGAAUGCUGCUAUCAGGUUGAACAGCUCCAGAUCUCUCAGCUUGUCUCUGUAGGGACGGUGUUCCAUCCCUUGGAUCAUUUUUGUUUGGAUCACCCUCUUCUGGAUGUGCUCCAACAGCUCCAUGUCUCUCCUGUACUGAGAACUCCAAAUCUGGAUGCAUUACUCCUGGUGAGGCCUCACCUGCACAAAACAGAGGAGCAGGAUCACCUCCCUCAACCCGCUGGCCACACUUCUUUUGCUUCUUUUGAUGCAGCCCAGGAUAUGGUUGGCUUUCUGGGCUGUGAGGGCACAUUGCUGGCUCACGUCCAGCUUCCCAUCUCCUAGUCCUUUUCAGCAGAGCUGUGCUCUAAGCUUCCAUUCCCCAGCUUGUAUUGGUAGUGGGAGUAGCCUUGACCCAGGUGCAAGACCUUGCACUUGGUUUUGUUGAACCUCAGGAGAUUCACCUGGGCCCACUGCUCAAGCCUAUCUAGGUCGCUUAGGAUGGCAUCCCCUUCCUCUAGGUUUCUGUUUGUAUCUGAUGAAGGAUGGCUUUGUUAACCUCAUCAUUAUUAUUGUGAAACAAGAAGGUGAAAACAAUGAAAUUUACAUUUUACUCUGAAGGAGCUGAGAAUUGUAAUUGUUCCAGUAUCAUAGGGAAUUAAUUCCGUAGCUGUAUGCCAGCUGCCAAGAAUAUUUUAUCUGUUCAUGGCACAGAGACAAGUCUUCUCUUGUCCGUGUGGAAUGCAACUGUAGUGAAAGGUCAUGAAGUCAGACAAAAGCAGCCUUCAUUCUCUUUCACUGGCAGGGCACACAGAAGUUGCUUAGGAUAGAUGUAGGCAGGAAGGUAGAGACAAGGAUUGCUGAUUUUUAUUGGCUUCCCUAGUAGUGCAAGCAGCUACCUUCAGCUUAUGUGCUACAGAUCUGUCCUUAUCACUCUGCCAGCAGACCAUGCCUCCCUUGGGCUUCAAUGUGCUGAUGGUCAUAGAAACCAGAGCUCUAUCUGAAUACAUUUUGAACAGUAUAUAGCUAUCUGAACUGGUGCUUAAGGGUACACUGUACAUAAAAUACUCCUUAAAUAUUUCCAUAUUCCUUCUACAUAAUAUGCAUGAGAAUCUGGCCCUUAUCUUUGUUAUUUUUGUCUAACAUUUUUCUGUGGCUUUUUUUCUUUUUCAAUCCUUUAAUGUUAUUUUUUUUUCUUUCACUAUGAAUAACAUGAACCUUAUACCAACUUUAUGAAGUGAUCCCAUUGCAACCAAAGGAAUUUUACAUCCUAUAAAAAACACCUCAAUGAGAAUAAAUUUAUCUUGAAAUCUUCUCUUAAUGGUAAUAUUCCUUUUAACGCUAAUGAGAUUUUGUCCUCUGUGUACAACUAUCAAUAAGUAAUUAAUGACAACCAGAAGACGUAGUACCCCAAAUAUCCUUUGCAAUAAGAUGAAAAGACUGAAAACUGGAUACAGAUUCGGUCUUUGCAUGGAGGAUCUAUUUCUGGUCUUGCUAUAGAAAUGUUUUUUUUUAAUUAAGCUAAACAUCAUGAGAGAAACAAGUGAGAUAAUUUGGUAUUGUGAGAUCUCUGCUCUUUUUCACUUAUGGUCAUUUUAUGUAUUGAAAUACUUGCAAUGAAAAGUGAUCCGGUUAUUCAGCCAUCGAAAUAAUCUGUUUCUUCAUCAUGUUAUCAAUGAGUCUUCAACUGUUCUACUUUGCACAGAAAUUACAUGUGAUUUCCUUUUUCAAUGUAUUUUUUUUUCUUUUUAAAAAACAAUCACUAUAUUCACAGGGAGAAUUUGUUAAAUUGUAAAAUCAUAUUUAAGACUUCAAGGUGUAUAUGAAUUACAUGACUUUAAAGAGGCCAGCUUUCUGUCAGAUGUGUGGGAGUGAAUGACAGACUAAUUCCCACACACCCCCGAGAAAAUUGAGAGUUGUCCUUCUACUAAGUAUUCAGUUACAACUGGCCCUAUAUAUAUACAAUUUCCAUAUUAUAUAGAUGUAUAAUUAUUGCAGCUUCUUUACAUUUUACUGCCAUGUCACUUGCCUAUACAAAUACGCUGAUAAAACAAACCAUUCUGAAAACAGUACUCUGAUGUGCCAGCAUUUUGUAUUAAAGUGUUUCACUUUAUUUUCAUCUCAUAGUCAUGUGCUGGGGAGCAGAUAUGCUAAAUGUGUUAUUAAAAUUAGAUUAUAUUUAGCAGGUUUGAGAUAAUCUGCUGUUUUCUUUCAGCUGUAUACAAUGAAGGAAUAUCCUGAGUUGGAAGAGAUCCACAAAGGAUCACCCAAAAUUCAAACCAUUAGUCUGAGAACAAUGUUGGAACACUCUUUGAACUCUGGCAGCUUAGGGCUGUGACCACUGCCCUGGGGAGCUUGUUCCAAUGCCCAACCACCUUCUGGUGAAGAACCUUUUCCUAUAUCCAAUCUGAUCUUCCCCUGACAAGAUACCAUUAAUAUCUGCUCUCAUCAUGUUCUUACUCCACUUCAAGAUUCCCUAAUGUGCAUUUCACAUUACAGUUAAAAUCCCUUAAUUUGUCCUGAUGUACAUCAGCUGUGGGAUCACUGCACUAUCAUAACAAAAAAAAAUAUAAACAAAACAAAACAAAAAACCAAACCCACCAGCAACUAUGCUUGACAAAACCACAUGAAAAAAAAAAAAAGCAUGUUUGUUAAAAAUGUUUUUUUUUUACAGAACACAUUUACUAUAAGUAGUUACUUUUCAGUGAGCUAUUGACAUGACGCACAAUGCAAAGAGACUGGAUUGGUGUCUUUUCCUUGAAGAUAUGUAUAACACAAUGCGUAGACAGAUGUUCUAGACAGAUACUCAAGGUAAUUAUAAUAGAAUUGCACUAUCUGAGUGCUGAGAAAUAUCAGUUAUGAAUCCCACAAACACUAGCACAGUUGUCUCUAGAAAGAAAACAAAUGAAACUGCAUUUAGUUUCCCACCUUGAGAUCUUCAUGUCAGUAUAUCUGGUUGAUAGAUUAUGCUGUCUCACUGGCUAUCUGCCUAGAGGACAGAGAAGCAAUUCCCCUUGGAAUGAACCUUAGUACUUCUCUUUACAUUGGCUAUCAUGUGGAGUCAAGAACAGACACUUAUUGCCAUCUGACUAAAAGCAUGGCCUGGAACUUGUAUGUGUAUCUGUGCAUGUCAACAGUUUUCCAAUACAUGCGCCUAAAUUUAGUCACUGAAUUCAUUAUUGGGCUUUCAAAUAUGUGACCUGAUAUUCAGAAGUACUGACCACUCAGGUAUCUGGUGAUUUUAGUGCAAGCUGUAAUUAUUCAGAAUCUCUGAACAAAAUCAUCCAGUGCAGUUUUCAUUUUAAGUCAGUAGAAAGAUGGUUGUUACAUUUCAUAGCUACUGGGUUGGACUGCAGCUAUUUAGUCUUUGGCAACCAUAUUUGACACUCUCAGCCAGGCACUUGCAUGGUAAUCAUGUGAGUGAGUCUGAUAGUCACAUGAAAACUGCAGUGUCACAUAAUCAAAAAAAAAAAAAAAAAGAAUCACAGAACUGCUAUUGCUUUAUCUGUAUCCUUUAUUUCAUCUGUCUUAUGACUUACUUGAAAAUCCUGAGUGUCUUAGCAGUUAUCGUCCUUUAAAAAUGAACCUGUCAGAGAAAUUUUCUUCUCCUUCACAAAUACAAGAAUUCCUCCAUCUAUCUGUUAUUAAUACAUGUAAGAUCCAAAAUCCUUCAUUUCUUGGAUGGGCAUGUUGUGACAGCUAUCCAUGGAUAGUUGUCAUUAUAACUAAGGAUUAUUAUCAGGAAAACACACAAAAAAGGUUUAAUGUUCAGUAAGAACUUUUGAUUUUAGUUUCCUGCCCCAGUACACUUUGGAAGACACAUAAAAUACAAGGUGACUAAAUUCCUUAUAAAUUAUGUAAUACAGAAACUUUACAUUUCUAUGAAGAGCAAGUUACUCACUCUGAGCUUUACAGCUCACUUUUAGCCCCUGAGUGUCAAUAGUGCUAGAACUGACAGACUAACUGAUUCACUAAUUGGACUUCUUCAUAUACUGGCUUCCAUCCAUAAAAGUUCCAGGGCUGGGGAAAGAGCAUUUUAGUCUACCUUCUAGACAUUGCUACGUAGCUCCCUAGCUGUUCUAAUGUAUGCCAGAAUCUGACAGUAGAGGAUUAAAAAUUUUUCUCUGCUCUGUCCUCUUUUUUGCCUAAGCACAGCUUCUGUAUACUAAGGCACAGUAUACAGCCUAUUAUACUGCCUUUAACCUUGAAAAUUUUCAAUGCUAUUUUAGUUCUGUUUAGAAAGGCUUUCUUUCUGCCUUGAAAAGUUGAACUCGAGGGAACAAAGGUAGCUGGGUUUUCAGUUGGAAGGCUACAAAAGCGGUUCCAGGUUUUUGAUCCUCUGUAGCCCUUUUUUCUUUUUUUGGAAAUAAGAUAUAAAGAUUUUGCUGUUAAGAGUCUGGAAUGAUCUGCAGAGCUUUUUUUGCCAGCUGCAGUAAUCCUCAGACACUUGGUCAAUCCUUCCAGAUGUAAAUUCUGUGGCAAACUAAUUUAAAACAGGUAGAAAUACACUUAGUUCACUAGUACUCACAAUAUGGUUACAUUUCAAAAACAACAUCAAUCUUGCCAAAGAGAGAAAAUGACUGGCAGUUUUCCCUGUUCAAAAUUAGAGGAAUAGCUGUGCAACAGGCAAACCUGAGGGCACAAUUCAUUUUUCAGUCACACUGCUGAAAGCCUCUGACAACAUUCGGGCACCUUUCCCUGAUGUAUACUCAAGACCCUUACAGUGUACGUGUCGCCUCUUCUACAUUUAAAAGUACUCCUUUUGCCUUCUAGAUUUAUCUUUUUUUCUUUGUUUGUUUUCCAAUUUAAACUACUUCCUCUGAGUUAAACUGAAGCUACAAGAACUGUCAGGAUUUCAUUAAAUCCCCUUCAAACAUGAACACUGUUAAUGUCCCCCCACCCCUACACAUACAAUUACUUUGGUUUUGGUUUUACAAUAAGAUGGCUGAGAAAAAUACUAGGUGAUAAAGGUAAUCACUACAUUGUAGAAUUUUAAUAAACUGUUUUCUUCCUCAGUGAGCCAUGAAAACAAAUCAUGAUUUUUCAUUCAUGAUGCACCUCAUGGCUUAGUUAAAUUCUCUUGCUCGUCAUCUCUUUGCUAUGUGCAAGCUGUAUUUUGACGUCAGUAACUAAAGAAGUUCUCAAUAUGAUGUGCAAUGUUUGUAAGAUGUUCUAAGUUGCUAUAAAUUCAAGCAGCCUCUUUGUUAAAUACAUUUUGUUGCUGCUUCAUCUCAUGUUGGCUAAUUUGUAUGUCUCAUGUUACCUUACUACUCCACAGCAGACAUAUUCUAACAUUUAAAUUUACUUUAAAAACUAGUAAUUGUAAGUAUGCCGCCACUUGGCCUCAUAUAAUUAUCAUCUGUUUUGUUUUCCAGCCAUAAUACAUUUCAUGUCUUUACAUCCAACUGACUGCCUAAUUCCAGUUUCCACAUGAAAAUGCUUAUCACAAAAUACUCUUCAUAUCAAUACUGCCAGAGAUCAGGCCCAUUUAGCUGCCUUUUCUGACAGAUAUUCUUGGCUAUGGAGAGCCUGUUAAUAAUGAUUGAAGUAUAUGACAUUUCUCUGGAAUUAAUGAUUGACUACAAGACUCCAGUGGCUCAGUGCUUGGCAAAGGACCGUUCUCUCUAGCAGGCAAUCUUUCCCUGGGAAAUACUCAGAGGUUGCAUGAAGAUUAUCAUUAUUGUUUACAAAAUGAAAUAGUGAAUUUUAAGCAUGAUCGUUGCAAUUGCUCUGUGUUUUCAUUGUUCAGUAUUCUUCAGAUUUAUCUCCACCUCAGUGUUUAGAUUAACAUGUUAUCUUUUUCUCUUAAUUUUACUCUUUGGAAAUCACUUAUUUACAUAAAAGCUUGCAAGAAUCAGUUCUAAUAUUCCACACAGGUAAACACAAAAUAUAUAAUACACACAUAUCUGUAAAAAGUAUGAGGGUGUAAUGUGUUCAUAUAACUUCCACUGAGAAAUGGCUAUACAACGCUAUGUAUGUCCCCCCCAAAACCUACUUUCUAGAUUAAAAUUGAACAAGCAGCAUUGCCAUUGAUCCACAUGUGAAAGUCUCAUUGAAAAGAGAGAAGUAUAAGAGGACUAACGUGCUUUGUAUUAAGGAGCCAGCCCGACCGACAUUAUAACGAGAUUUCUAAAUAACUGGUGUGCAGGGGCAUCUCACGUUUAGCAGCCACACGCAUAACCCCACCGUAAGCCACGCAGCACGAGCAAUAUACGCUACCUGAGGGCAG